AAGACCCUGUUGAGCUUGACUCUAUCCUGGGGUUGUUGGGCGACUUAGGAGGUGUAGCAUAGGUGGGAGCUUCCGAGCGUCACUGAAAUACCACCACUCCCAAGAUCGUCCUGCUGAUCUUGUUAUCGUAAGCGUGCAUGGACCCACUCCCGUGGCGUGGUUUGUGCGCGGCAGGCAUACUCGAGUAAGUGUAGGAUCCGCGCGAUUCCUCGCUUGCUUGGCUUCUUACGCACGAGAGACACCCCCAGGUGGGGAGUUCGGCUGGGGCGGUACACCCGUCAAAAGACAACGCGGGUGUCCUAUGGUCAGCUCAACGAGGACAGAACUCUCGUGUGGUGUAGUUAAGGGUAGAAGCUGACUUGAUUCGGGCUCUCAGUAGGAGCUUGAGCUGCGAAAGCAUGGCCUACCGAUCCU
rnacentral:rRNA from 12 species